UCCGUCCAGGUCACGGCGCCGUGUUGCUGGUCGUGUCAUUUCAGCUCCGCUCGAGGUGACUCUUUUCACCCGAGCCCGGCAACUUUGUCCCGGGAGAAAUCCGUCGGCCUCUUCCUGAGUGUUCAGGCGGACGACUGCCUGAAAAGCCCCCGGGAUGGUUUACGGUUGGCCCUGUGUGAUUUCAGACAAGCGUUGAGGCAAGAUACCUGUGAAGCUGCUCGUACCUAUUCCUGACUACAGAUGUGCCAUCAUGGUAUGCCAAGUUCGUCUGUUUUACACCAUCUUUACAUACGCACCGUAAUUCAUCUGCGAAUACUUUGUGCGGAGCUGGAUGAACACAGCAGGCCAGGCAGCAUCAGAGGAGCAGAAACAUUUUCCGGAGGGAGGAGGGUAACUUCUUCAAGAGGAUAAAUGACCUGCUCCUGGCUUACUUCUGCUACUAUGUUCCUGUCUUCCUAUGUCCCUACCUUGCAUCACACUGGGAUUAAAAUUUAUAAACAACAAUAUUUUGAGCAAUGGGUGAAGCUAGCUGUUCCAUGUUGUUGUUAAUGCAUAACAACAUGCUGCUGUUAAAUCAAAAAAUGUUCUGCCUAUCACAUAAAUGAGUAAUGUAAUAUAUGUUUCAAUGUCAGUGUGAUGCUAUGUAUUUUGGCCAUAUGUUCUAAAGACUGGCAAUCGUUACAACUUGCAUAUACGCUUCUCAAAGAGCAAGGUAUUGACCGUAACCAAUCAGCAGGUGCUUGCAGAACUCAAAAGAUAUAACCACAUUAAAUGUGAUUGGACAGCAUUUGAUAAAUAAUCACAAGUGUGCUAAGAAUUACACUGACAACCAAUUUAAACAUUUAUCUAAUUGUAUUCAAUUGUGUGCUGAUGCUGAGCAUUAACUGAGAAUUAAAUGGCUCCAAUAAAUAAAACAACUGACUGAAACUGACAUUUGGUUGCAGUGAUGCAUGUUUGUAAUGUGCCUCUUUGUGAAUAAAUUCUAUGAAAGUGUA